rnacentral:siRNA from 1 species
GGGAGAGAACUGAUCGCCGGUGAA